rnacentral:rRNA from 1 species
CACGUAGGGUGCGAGCGUUGUCCGGAAUUAUUGGGCGUAAAGAGCUCGUAGGCGGUGUGUCGCGUCGGCCGUGAAAACCUGCAGCUUAACUGGUGGGCUUGCGGUCGAUACGGGCAUCACUGGAGUUCGGCAGGGGAGACUGGAAUUCCGUGGUGAUAGCGGUGAAAUGCGCAGAUAGUCAGGAGGAACACCGGUGGCGAAGGCGGGUCUCUGGGCCG